ensembl:snRNA U6 U6 spliceosomal RNA
GUGCUCACCUGGGCAGUACGUGUACUGAAACUGGGCGGCACAGAGCAGAUCAGUGUGGCCCCUGCACAAGAUGACAGGCAAAGUCACGAAGCACUCCAUGUUUUA